rnacentral:lncRNA from 1 species
UUGGUGGUGGAACAAAGGAUGAUGGUUGCUCAGUUGGUUUUGGAACGGAGGAUGAUGGUCGCUCAGUUGGUGGUGGCAGGAAUUUGCUUAGUAAUUCGUUGACCCAAGCAAGUUUUUCUCCCCACAUAGGUAGGCAAAUAGUUGGUUUAGGUGUUUGCUGAACCAACUCUAUGGUAGGAGGACAAAUGUUAGGGGGAAAAACUUUCACUACGUUUCGAUGGACGAUAUUCAGAUAGUGGGUUGCUCGAUUUGGACUGAAACAAUGUACCUAAAGAAAACAUACAUUAACAAUAUCAAUUCUAUCAAUCAAUACACAUUAAAAGUUAUAUUACUUUAGUUGACGUAUGUAUGUCUUACAAGAUUCAGUAUCAUAACGGAACCAAUUCGAAUUUUAUCUUUAUGUUCAGGAUCUUGAAGAACUUUCUUGUGUAAUGAAGCCUUGAUUGUCCC